GGCUGGUUAGCUCAGUUGGUUAGAGUAUGGCGCUGAUAACACCAAGGUCCUGGGUUCAAUCCCUGUACUGGCCA